GAAAACAAGAUAAAUUACUUACUACCACGGCUAAAGAUAAUUUAACGGUAUGAAAAUAUUACACCAAGAAGCUGUUUGGUAAUCGAGAUGAAAUAGACAAAGACCCUAGUGGUAAUUGGUAUAUAUAAUUUAAGCAGAUAAAAAUCAAAAAGGCAUCUGAACUAUUUAUUUAUUUUAUUUUGUUUUUUCAUCUAAACCAUCACUUUCUCACAAGUUUCACACCCCAUUUACUAGUUGUUCCUUUUUCUACUUGAACCUGUCAGCCCCAUACUCUCACUCCCCAUUUACUAGUUGUUCCUUUUUCUACUUGAACCUGUUAGCCCCAUACUCUCACUUUAUGUUUUAAUAAGGAAAAACUAAUAAUCAAACUAUCUUGUAGGAUACGUCGAAGAUACAAAGGAUCAAACAAAAUCAAUCCAGAACGGAAGCAAGCAUCUACUCACAAGAAAGCCGGCUUCAAGAUGGGAAGAACAUCAAUCGCGUAGAUUAUUGGCUUCCAAGACUUAUGGCAAUCGAAUCAAUCAAGAAUAAGAGCAAAAGGAAAGAAGAUCACAGCAUCAAUCACGGAGAAUACUGACCUCCCAGAAUUACGGCAAACCGAAUCAAUCAAGACUAAGAGCAAGAGGAAAAAAGGUCACACCCUCUACAUGGAUAUAUCUGAUAUGGACAUGUAUGAUUGUGGAAGCUGCACCACGUAUGAACAUAUCCGGUAUGGACAUACUUUAUAGUGUCAUUCCUCAAUAAAGGAAACAAUUCAAAUCCUUGAUUGAGAAGAAAUCUCUUGAGUUUCCUUAUAAAGAAUAAAAGUCGAAGCAGUUGAAGAUUAUAAAAGAAAAGACCAAAGACUUUCUCAGAGUGUCUCAAUCUUAGUCUCUCAAAACUUUGUACUUCUUAGUUUACAAUAGGUAUACAAAGAAUAAGAUCGAGUCGACUUUGUAACACAAACCGAGACUGUUUCAUAAGAUCUGAAGAAAAAAAUAAGUCUUCAAAACUUGUUCAUCACCAUUGUACUCGAACUCCACUUUGAAAGAUCUAAGGAAACUUUGAAACCCAAGGUGACUGGAAGUAGACACCAUAUUAGUGUUCCGAAUCAGGAUAAAUCUUCGUAUUUUCUAUUUCAAGUUGCUUAUUUACUUAUCUGCUUGUUUAAAUCUAAUCGAGUUUGUGAAGUAUAUUGAUUUGCAGGUAAGUCGACUGUGAAGACUCAAUAGAACUCGACUCAUGAAAAUUUUUAAUUCACCCCCUUAGUUAGCCAACUAUUAAUUAUUUCCUUUUUCAAUCUGAACUAUCGAUGUUAAUCAAGUAGGUAUGUUUUAAUAUAUAGAUGAUGACAAC
rnacentral:lncRNA from 1 species